UAAAAAGUUUUUUAUGCAUUAAAUGGAUACCUAAACAUCAAAAUUAAAAAAGGCGUGUACAGACGAAAUGUUACAGUGAGUGAAAUCUUCGCUGAGAUCUGUGACUUCCUUUAAUAGAAAACUAAACCUUUAUAGAGGUAUAUUUUGUUUUUUAUAGGAUAAAAUAAAACCCUAGUGAAUUGAAUCAUCUAACUAACUAGGGAAAAAAUCAAUCGAGAUUCCGCAAGUAGUGGCGAGCGAAAACGGUAAAGGCUAAAACUCAACUUUUUACUUAAAUGUUUGCCAGAGAAGGUCAGCCCUGUAAAGUAAUAAUUAAAAGCUUGAGAUCAAAAAGUAAAAUAGUACAAGUCGUGUAUUGUUUGAAUAAUGAAGAACCACCUUCAAAGCCUAAAAUAUUUGAUGUUUGAUAGUGCACUAGUACUGUGAAGGAAAGGUGAAAAGAAUUUGCGAAAAUUGAAAUUUAUUGAAAUUUAAUGCCAACAAGCAGUUGUAGCUUAAUAAAGAGUAACAACGUACCUUUUGCAUAAGUGAUCAACAAGUUUUUUUCAGAAGCGAGCUUAAAGAAAUACAAAAUCUGUAGGCUAAAAAAAAUUGAGUUUUAAAAAGCACAGUAGUUACUGAAAUAAGACCCGAAACUAGGUGAUCUAACUAUGAACAGGUUGAAUUUAUAGCGGUAACGCUUAUUGGAAGACCGAACCCGUGUAUGUGGAAAAAUACUGGAAUGAUUUGUGGUUAGGAGUGAAAGGCUAAUCAAACCUAGAGAUAGCUGGUUUUCUGCGAAAUCUAUUUAAGUAGAGCGUUUAAAUUCAUUAUUUUAAGGUAGAGCACUUGAUAAUCAAUGGGAACGAAAGUUUUACUGAGCUUAUUAAAACUCCGAAUAAAAUUUAAUAGUUUUUAAGCAGACAGACUAUGAGUGCUAAGAUUCAUAGUCAAAAGGGAAACAGCCCAGACUAAUAAUUAAGGUCUCAAAAAGUAGUUAAGUAAAAAAAAUGUAAAGGAAUGAUAACAGUCGGUAGGUUAGCUUAGAAGCAGCUAUCCUUUAAAGAAUGCGUAAUAGCUCACUGGCCUAGCUUUUUUGCGUUGAAAAUGUAAAGAGAUUUAAACUACUUACCGAAAUUGUAGAUUUAAGUACAAUAAGUAUUUAAAUGGUAGCAGAACGAUCUAUAAGUCUAUGAAGAUUCAUGGUUACAUGGAUUUGAGAUAUUAGAUUUGAGAAUGUUGAUAUGAGUAGCGAUAAACAAUGUGCAAAACAUUGUCGCCUUAAGUUCAAGGUUUCCAGAACAAGGCUAAUCCUUUCUGGUAUUGUUAAUCGGUCUCUAAAAAUAUAGCGAUAGCUUAAUUUGAUGGGUAAAAAAAAAGAUUUUUUUAUUUGUUUAAUGUGACAAAACGUAAAUAUUAUUUUUAUUUCAUGGUUUUAAAUGAAAGUUUUAUAACGUUUUCAAGAAACAGCUUAAGCAUAAAAACCGUACUUAAACCGACACAGGUGAACGAAUUUAGUAAAUUAAGGCGCUUGAGAGAAUUGUGUUGAAGGAACUCGGCAAAUUGACUCUGUAACUUCGGAAGAAGGAGUAACUUUAUUAGGGUAACCUUUUAAAGUUGUCACAAAAUCGGGGGCAGCGACUGUUUAAUAAAAACACAGGUCUCUGCAAAUUUGUAAAAAGAAGUAUUGAGACUGACGCCUGCCCAGUGCUGCAAGAUUAAAGGAAAAAGUUUUUUGGCUUUGACCCUAACCCCCAGUAAACGGCGGCUGUAACUCUGACGGUCCUAAGGUAGCGAAAUUCCUUGGCAUUUAAUUGGUGUCCUGCAUGAAUGGCGUAACGACUGCCCCACUGUCUCCAACACAAUCUCAGUGAAAUUGAAUUUUCCGUGAAGAUGCGGAAUACCUACGGCUAGACGGAAAGACCCUUACACCUUUACUAUAGCUAUAUAUUGUAUUAAGAAUUUUGAUGUGUAGAAUAGGUGGUAGUUGUUUUUAUCCUGCAAUUUGCAGUUAAAAAAAGUUUUCACGUAAGUGAACUGUUUAAACUUCUUUGAAAUACCACUCUUUAAAAUUCUUAUUAGUAAUUAUUCAAGACAUUGUAUAGUGGUUAGUUUGACUGGGGCGGUCGCCUCCUAAAGAGUAACGGAGGCGCACAAUGGUAGGUUUUAGUUGAAAAACACCAACUCAUAAGCGUAAUAGUAUAUACCUGCCUGACUGUAAGAUUGACAAAUCAAGCAGGGACGAAAGUCGGUUAUAGUGAUCCGAUGACUCUGUGUGGCAAUGGUCAUCGCUCAACGAAUAAAAGGUACGUAAGGGAUAACAGGCUAAUCAUCCCCUAGAGACCCUAUCGACGGGAUGGUUUGGCACCUCGAUGUUGGAUUAUCGCAUCCUGGAGCUGUAAGCGGUUCCAAGGGUUUGACUGUUCGUCAAGGAAGGCGGUACAUGAUCUGAGUUUAGAACGUUGUGAAACAGUUUGGUCCCCCUAUCUACCGUGGGUGUUAAAAAUUGAGAGGACUAGACUCUAGUACGAGAGGACCGAGAAAAGCAAAUCUCUGGUGUAUCGAUUGUCAGACCAAUGGCAUUGUCGAGUAGCUACAUUUGUAAUAAAUAAUCGCUGAAAGCAUCUAAGCGAGAAAUUAGCCUCAAAAUAAGUUUUUGUUUGAAUUGUAAAAGAUCAUUACAUAGAUAGGCUUAAAGUGCAUAAGUCGUAAGAUUUCAGCUAAUAAGUACUAA
rnacentral:rRNA from 1 species